GUAGUCAUAUGCUUGUCUCAAAGAUUAAGCCAUGCAUGUCUAAGUAUAAACAACUUUAUACUGUAAAACUGCGAACGGCUCAUUAUAUCAGCAAUAAUUUAUUUGAUGGUUUCUUACUACAUGGAUAACUGUAGUAAUUCUAGAGCUAAUACAUGCGUAAAGUCCCAACUCUUGCGGGGAGGGAUGUAUUUAUUAGAUAAAAAACCAAUGCGGGUUCUGCUCGCCUUUGUGUUGAAUCAUAGUAACUUUUCGGACGCCAUAGCCUUGUGCUGGGCGCAGAUCAUUCAAAUUUCUGCCCUAUCAGCUUUCGACGGUAGUGUAGUGGACUACCGUGGCGUCAACGGGUAACGGGGAAU
rnacentral:rRNA from 1 species